GUUGCUUCAUGUGGUUGAAAAUAUUGAGCUUGACACCCUAAAAUGUGUGUUUGGCAAUAGUAAUUGAAGCUAUAUAGACUUGUUCCUCUCGCUAUCCAGUGUUGUAAUUUACAUAGAGCAUUUGGACGUUGGGUGACUACAUUU